rnacentral:rRNA from 1 species
GGGGCAUGAUUGACGCUGAGGCUCGAAAGCGCGGGUAUCAAACAGGAUUAGAUACCCUGGUAGUCCGCGCCGUAAACGAUGAAUGCUCGUCCUUGGCGACACACAGUCAGGGACCAAGCGAAAGCAUUAAGCAUUCCACCUGGGGAGUACGCCGGCAACGGUGAAACUCAAAGGAAUUGACGGGGGCCCGCACAAGCGGAGGAACAUGUGGUUUAAUUCGAUGAUACGCGAGGAACCUUACCCGGGCUUGAACUGGACGGGACGGAUGGCAGAGACGCCUUCCUUCUUCGGACCCGUCUGGAGGUGCUGCAUGGUUGUCGUCAGCUCGUGCCGUGAGGUGUCGGCUUAAGUGCCAUAACGAGCGCAACCCCUGCCGCCAGUUGCCAUCAGGUGAUGCUGGGCACUCUGGCGGGACUGCCAUCGCAAGAUGCGAGGAAGGUGGGGAUGACGUCAAAUCAGCACGGCCCUUACGUCCGGGGCUACACACGUGUUACAAUGGGGGGCACAGAGGGCAGCUGCCGUGCGAGCGGUGGCGAAUCCCGAAAUCCCCUCUCAGUUCGGACUGGAGUCUGCAACCCGACUCCACGAAGCUGGAUUCGC